UGCGCUCGAUCUAUCCUACCAGUCUAACUGGGUGGGGGAAGUGGCGAAAGGGGCAGUAAGGCGUGGGUAACGUACCCCGGGGACCGGGAUAGCCAUCCUAACGGAUGGGUAAUACCGGGCGAUCUGACGGCGGGGCAUCCCGGUUGUCAGGAAAUGAAUCUUGCCUCGGGAGCGGCUCACGUGGUAUUAGCUUGUUGGCGGGGUAACGGCCCACCAAGGCCAAGAUGCCUAGCAGGUGUGAGAGCACGACCUGCGCCACUGGCACUGAGACACUGGCCAGACUCCUACGGGAGGCUGCAGUCGAGGAUCUUCGGCAAUGGGCGCAAGCCUGACCGAGCGACGCCGCGUGUGCGAUGAAGGCCUUCGGGUUGUAAAGCACUGUCGAGGGGGAGAAAGCUCCGCAAGGAGUUGAUCUAUCCCUGGAGGAAGCACGGGCUAAGUUCGUGCCAGCAGCCGCGGUAAGACGAACCGUGCGAACGUUGUUCGGAAUCACUGGGCUUAAAGGGCGCGUAGGCGGACCAUCAAGUCAGGGGUGAAAUACUUCGGCUCAACCGGAGAAGUGCUUCUGAUACUGGUGGUCUCGAGUGGUGUAGGGGCAUGUGGAACUUCCGGUGGAGCGGUGAAAUGCGUAGAUAUCGGAAGGAACGCCGGUGGCGAAAGCGACGUGCUGGACACCUUCUGACGCUGAGGCGCGAAAGCCAGGGGAGCAAACGGGAUUAGAUACCCCGGUAGUCCUGGCCCUAAACGAUGGGUACUAGAUUGUAGGCUGACAUGGGCUUACAGUCGGAGCAAAAGUGUUAAGUACCCCGCCUGGGGAGUAUGGUCGCAAGGCUGAACUCAAAGGAAUUGACGGGGGCUCACACAAGCGGUGGAGCAUGUGGCUUAAUUCGAGGCUGCGCGAAGAACUUUAUCCCGGGCUUGACAUGUCCGAAAGGGGCAGGAAGUAGGGGGCCGGAAACGUUCCUCCAACGGU
rnacentral:rRNA from 1 species